rnacentral:rRNA from 1 species
UACAGAGGGUGCAAGCGUUAAUCGGAAUUACUGGGCGUAAAGGGCUCGUAGGUGGCCAACUAAGUCAGACGUGAAAUCCCUCAGCUUAACUGGGGAACUGCGUCUGAUACUGGAUGGCUUGAGUUUGGGAGAGGGAUGCGGAAUUCCAGGUGUAGCGGUGAAAUGCGUAGAUAUCUGGAGGAACACCGGUGGCGAAGGCGGCAUCCUGGACCAAUACUGACACUGAGGAGCGAAAGCCAGGGGAGCAAACGGG